rnacentral:rRNA from 2 species
UAGUCAAUGCUCGCAAGAGUGAACUAGCUAACUGAAAUCAAAGAGUUUAUUUAAACUCAUGAUGUCGUAAGGGAAAAUAAUGAUAAUACCUUACUAUUAGUGUCGUCCAAAUCUGGUGCCAGAAGACUCGGUAAGACCAGAGACGCAAACGUUAAUCAUCAUAAUCAGGCGUAAAGGGUUUGUAGGCAGCUAUCACCUCCCCCUUCUCCAACCCCCCCCCCGCCGAAGGCGAGGAUGGGGGGGAUGGGGGGGGCGGGUAAUUAAUUGAGAGCUAGAAUCAAAAAGAGGUUAUAGUGUAUAACGCCUAGAGGAGGGCUGAUAUCCAUAGAUCCUAGGCAGAAUACUCAGGGCGAAGGCCACUCUCCACUAAUGAUUGACGCUGAGAAACGAAGGUUAGGGUAGGAAAUAGGAUUAGAUACCCCGGUACUCCUUUCUGUAAACGAUGAAUGGUAGUCAUUAGUUUCUAUACUAGAGACGAAGUUAACACAAUAACCAUUCCGCCUUGUGAGUACUACUGCAAAGUAGAAAACAAAAAAAUUAGUCGGUCUCGAAGCAAACGGAGUGAAGCAUGUUAUUUAAU